AUAUUUUUACAGUUCGAUAUGUUAAAACCUAAUUUUUUUUUUUUUUUUUGUUGUGUAUUAUUUUUUUCAGAUGCCGAUCAAUAGACUUUUCAAACAGCAAACCCAUAGAUAAAGAACUUUUCGCAUGGAAAUGUGAAGUAGAGUGGCCUUGCGUUAGCUCUCCCAAAUUAAAAAUCAUGGACAAGUGCCCUUUUCGAUGGACACAUAUAGGCAACAAUUUGUGCAUAGCGCCAGAGGAUUAUUCCAAAAAAUGCCCACCAGCAUUGGAUUUAUCAAAUUAUAACUACAAAGAAAGAAUCAGAUUAGCCAAUGAAUGCAAUUUUGAAUGGAGUUAUAUCCCAAAUGAUACUAAUAACGGUGCACUGAAACAUAAAAUAAAAA